rnacentral:tRNA from 3 species
AGGGCUAUAGCUCAGCGGUGGAGCGCCUCGUUUAAUGAUCGAGAGUGUCUAUGGUUCGAAUCCGUAUAGUCCUA